GAUGAAGAACGCAGCGAAAUGCGAUAAGUAAUGUGAAUUGCAGAAUUCAGUGAAUCAUCGAAUCUUUGAAGGCACAUUGCGCCCGCCAGUAUUCUGGCGGGCAUGCCUGUUCGAGCGUCAUUACAACCCUCAGGCCCCCGGGCCUGGCGUUGGGGAUCGGCGGAAGCCCCCUGCGGGCACAACGCCGUCCCCCAAAUACAGUGGCGGUCCCGCCGCAGCUUCCAUUGCGUAGUAGCUAACACCUCGCAACUGGAGAGCGGCGCGGCCACGCCGUAAAACACCCAACUUCUGAAUGUUGACCUCGAAUCAGGUAGGAAUACCCGCUGAACUUAAGCAUAUCAAUAAGCGGAGGA
rnacentral:misc_RNA from 1 species